AAAUUGAAGAGUUUGAUCAUGGCUCAGAUUGAACGCUGGCGGCAGGCCUAACACAUGCAAGUCGAGCGGUAGCACAGAGAGCUUGCUCUCGGGUGACGAGCGGCGGAC
rnacentral:rRNA from 1 species